ensembl:rRNA 5S_rRNA 5S ribosomal RNA
GCUUACGGCCAUACCAGCCCAAGAACGCCAGGUCUCGUCUGAUCUCGGAAGCUAAGAAGGCUUGGGCCUGGUUAGUACUUGGAUGGGGGACCCUCCUCGGAAUGCCAGGUCCUGUAAGCU